UACGGAGGGGGCUAGCGUUGUUCGGAAUUACUGGGCGUAAAGCGCACGUAGGCGGCUUUGUAAGUUAGAGGUGAAAGCCCAGGGCUUAACCCUGGAAUUGCCUUUAAGACUGCAUCGCUAGAAUCGUGGAGAGGUGAGUGGAAUUCCGAGUGUAGAGGUGAAAUUCGUAGAUAUUCGCAAGAACACCAGUGGCGAAGGCGGCUGACUGGUCCGGGAUCUGACGCUGAGGCGCGAAAGCGUGGGGAGCAAACAGG
rnacentral:rRNA from 1 species